GAUGAACGCUGGCGGCGUGCCUAAUACAUGCAAGUCGAGCGAACAGACGAGGAGCUUGCUCCUCUGACGUUAGCGGCGGACGGGUGAGUAACACGUGGAUAACCUACCUAUAAGACUGGGAUAACUUCGGGAAACCGGAGCUAAUACCGGAUAAUAUAUUGAACCGCAUGGUUCAAUAGUGAAAGACGGUUUUGCUGUCACUUAUAGAUGGAUCCGCGCCGCAUUAGCUAGUUGGUAAGGUAACGGCUUACCAAGGCGACGAUGCGUAGCCGACCUGAGAGGGUGAUCGGCCACACUGGAACUGAGACACGGUCCAGACUCCUACGGGAGGCAGCAUUAGGGAAUCUUCCGCAAUGGGCGAAAGCCUGACGGAGCAACGCCGCGUGAGUGAUGAAGGUCUUCGGAUCGUAAAACUCUGUUAUUAGGGAAGAACAAAUGUGUAAGUAACUAUGCACGUCUUGACGGUACCUAAUCAGAAAGCCACGGCUAACUACGUG
rnacentral:rRNA from 1 species